AAUAGUAAAAAAGUAAAAUCAAUACUAGCCGCGCUCAAAACCUAAAACACUCGUAAUUUCUUACAAAAACAAGAAUAUUCUUAUCGAAAUUGCGUUCCACGCCUCGCACGUAACCCGAAAGAAAACCAUAGAACCAUAAUAAACACCGCGGGCCGACAGUCGCCGUCAUUCGUUAUUUCUAUCAUAACGUGUAAUAUAUUAUUGCGUAUAAUGAUGAUAAUGAUAACGUUCUCGCCGUGUUUUAUUGUCGUCGUCGUCAUAAUUUUUUCGACCGUGUCCGACUUCGUUUGUU